AGCGAACGCUGGCGACAGGCCUAACACAUGCAAGUCGAACGGAUCCUUCGGGAUUAGUGGCGGACGGGUGAGUAACACGUGGGAACGUGCCCUUUGGUUCGGAACAACUCAGGGAAACUUGAGCUAAUACCGGAUGUGCCCUUCGGGGGAAAGAUUUAUCGCCAUUGGAGCGGCCCGCGUCUGAUUAGCUAGUUGGUGAGGUAACGGCCCACCAAGGCGACGAUCAGUAGCUGGUCUGAGAGGAUGAUCAGCCACACUGGGACUGAGACACGGCCCAGACUCCUACGGGAGGCAGCAGUGGGGAAUCUUGCGCAAUGGGCGAAAGCCUGACGCAGCCAUGCCGCGUGAAUGAUGAAGGUCUUAGGAUUGUAAAAUUCUUUCAGCGGGGACGAUAAUGACGGUACCCGCAGAAGAAGCUCCGGCUAACUUCGUG
rnacentral:rRNA from 1 species